UAAUUGGAGAAUGAUAUGGCAAUCAUUUAAAUGGAAAAGAACCAUAUUUUGUGGAAAAUACAUAUUAACCAUUCCAGAUACUUUCUUCAGUAAAAUAUUUUCUUCCUGUUAUCAGAGUAUUUUUAUUAUUGGUGCUCUUAAUAUUUAAAAAGUAUGCGAUAUCUCUGGCCCUUAAUUUUCUCAUCUGUAAAAUAAGGGUGUUGGGGCACUAGUUUUAGUACUUCAUUCUAUGAGAGUGGUACUGCAAAAUUUUCACAAAUGUUUUAUUCCAUUUCAUGGAAGCUGAUGUUGACAAAGACUGUGAUCGUUAUCCAUAUUCCUGGAUUUCAGUUUCUGUU
rnacentral:lncRNA from 10 species